rnacentral:misc_RNA from 1 species
AAGUCGUAACAAGGUAACCGUAGGUGAACCUGCGGUUGGAUCAUUAGUGGUUUUUACGUAGCGCUGUUGUAGUGUUUCUGGGGGGUGUUUGUGUGUGGUCUUUGGUUUUGGUGUUGGUUGUUUGUCUGUUUUUGUGCCUUGUGCGGUGCCUUGCAGUACAAACGAUCGACGGCAACACUCGGACCAGACCCAAGACCUUUACAGACAAUAGACGUCUUUGCUUGCUUUGAUGAAACCAAAUCAAAAACAACUUUUGACAACGGAUCUCUUGGCUCUC